AAGGGAGCGUAGGCGGCUGAUUAAGUCAGCGGUGAAAGGUAGCAGCUUAACUGUUUUACAUGCCGUUGAUACUGGUUAGCUUGAGUUGACAGAAGGCAGAUAGAAUUCCUGGUGUAGCGGUGAAAUGCUUAGAUACCAGGAGGAAUACCGAUUGCGAAGGCAGUCUGCUGCAGUCACACUGACGCUGAGGCUCGAAGGUGCGGGGAUCAAACAGGAUUAGAUACCCGGGU
rnacentral:rRNA from 1 species